UAGGGAAUCUUCGGCAAUGGACGAAAGUCUGACCGAGCAACGCCGCGUGAGUGAAGAAGGUUUUCGGAUCGUAAAACUCUGUUGUUAGAGAAGAACAAGGACGUUAGUAACUGAACGUCCCCUGACGGUAUCUAACCAGAAAGCCACGGCUAACUACGUGCCAGCAGCCGCGGUAAUACGUAGGUGGCAAGCGUUGUCCUGAUUUAUUGGGCGUAAAGCGAGCGCAGGCGGUUUCUUAAGUCUGAUGUGAAAGCCCCCGGCUCAACCGGGGAGGGUCAUUGGAAACUGGGAGACUUGAGUGCAGAAGAGGAGAGUGGAAUUCCAUGUGUAUCGGUGAAAUGCGUAGAUAUAUGGAGGAACACCAGUGGCGAAGGCGGCUCUCUGGUCUGUAACUGACGCUGAGGCUCGAAAGCGUGGGGAGCAAACAGG
rnacentral:rRNA from 1 species